UAGGGAAUCUUCCACAAUGGACGAAAGUCUGAUGGAGCAAUGCCGCGUGAGUGAAGAAGGUUUUCGGAUCGUAAAACUCUGUUGUGAGGGAAGAACAAGUACGGGAGUAACUGCCCGUACCUUGACGGUACCUCAUUAGAAAGCCACGGCUAACUACGUGCCAGCAGCCGCGGUAAUACGUAGGUGGCAAGCGUUGUCCGGAAUUAUUGGGCGUAAAGCGCGCGCAGGCGGCCUUUUAAGUCUGAUGUGAAAGCCCACGGCUCAACCGUGGAAGGUCAUUGGAAACUGAAAGGCUUGAGUACAGAAGAGGAAAGCGGAAUUCCACGUGUAGCGGUGAAAUGCGUAGAGAUGUGGAGGAACACCAGUGGCGAAGGCGGCUUUCUGGUCUGUAACUGACGCUGAGGCGCGAAAGCGUGGGGAGCAAACA
rnacentral:rRNA from 1 species